AGCAUUAUAAAAAUCUAUUAUGCCCAAAUACAGUUCUUAAAGGGUCAGUAACAGUAUAAUAUGAGUCCAUAAGCCCCCAACUCAGUUCCUUAAAGGGCAAUACAUCCCAGGGCCAUAGUCGCAGGGCAGGAGGCUGGCCAACAGGCCCCUCCAAAAGCCAGUGGCGAGGUUACUUUCGACACAAUUAUUACUUUGCCACCGGCUCCAGGAUAGGGUCAGAUGCCCCACGGUCAUACACUUUUUUUACUGGUUGAGGCAGGAUCCCUCACUCCACGUAGUAUCAUUAGCACCACUGCACUGUUUUCGGCACUAGAUGUCUCAUUGUCCCCCGACAAAACAAUAGACCCCACAACACAGUUGGUUUUCCUGGGUAUCUCACUCAACUCAGUGUCUAUGCAGGCAUGCCUCCCCGAUGUGAAAUUGGUAUGCAUCAGACAAGAACUGGACCAGUUCCUCCAAAAAUGUACUGGUACUCGGCGGGAUCUCCAGUCUCUACUGGGAUACCUCAGUUUUGCAAUGCGUAUCAUUCCACAAGGGAGAUCCUUCAUCUCCAGUCUACUCUGCCUCCUACCCGGCGUGCCUGAUGAUGGCACCAUAGUCAUAAACCUGCCAGCCGUAGCCGAUUUAAUCAGCAUUACACUCUGAAGUUUGAGAAUGGAGUAAAAUAUUUAUUUGGAG